CAUUGUGCCCGCACGCGGGGCACGCCGGGACAUGUAGUUUCCCCCCUCCCCUCCCGGAGUCUCCGUCUGCUUCUGCAGUUAGCGGUCCGGUCCCCGCGAACGCGCGGCGUUUGGGUGCUUCGGCGAACACACACCCUGCGGCAGCUGCGCCUCAACGCGAGAGGGAGAGAAUGUCCAUCAAACCACAGCUGUGAGACAUGGCCAUCCAACGGCGAGCCCCUCCGCUGAGAGAGAGAGGAGCGCCGCAGACACUAUUCAGAGGAAGGGGCCAAACCAAGCUUUCGCGACCUCUGAUUUAGCUGCAGAGCUGAGGCAUAUAAUCCAAACACUUCGAGAGCACUUAGAGAGUAAAAGGACACCAAGGCAAAGAGCACAAACUGGAAAUGUUGCAGGAACUCAAGGGUAGAUGGCCAUCCUGCCUACGGGAUAUGUGGAAUGGGAAAAGUCAUGUCUGUCUCUUAAAACCACAUAAAGAAACAUGCACAUGUAAUAAAGAAUGAACCCAGCCCUUCAAAACACAAGGCUCUGAGACAAGCUACAGGUGAACUGUACAACAAGGAUGUAUCUCCAAAAUGUAGGAAAUUUCAGGUGAUGUAAAAAGUGGAAAUUAAAAUAACAUUUCAUCCAGACAUUGAAUGCCAAACAAUCAGUUUAUAAAUCUUAUUUCUCAGGAUCUGUUUCUUUAUUGCUAUAGUUCUAUGAUUUCUUUAUAGAUAUUUCUUAAUUAUAUUUGGACACAGAUGGUACCUUGCUACAAUUGUGGUAGCCCCCUACAGAAUAUAAAUAUAUAUUCCACUAUAAACAUUCAAAUUGAGAUUAAGGGAUCGCUUGGAUAUCUUGGUGAAACAAUUAUUAGAUGGAAAAAGGCUAAAUCUUCAUAAAACAUUAUUUGAUAAGAUUAUAUUACCAAGUAGCAUUGUUUCUCUUCUGGCCAUCCACAAAUAGAGAAAUCCAUAUGCAUGUUGCUUUCUUCAUUGUUUCCCCAUAACCAUCAGAACAGAAGACCCACAAGGUAAUACAUCCAAUCGCACAUAUUGACAAUAAAAAUCAAGCUCCUACAUUAGCUCUAAAGCACAUAUUGUCUCUUGAAACCUUUGACAGCUUGGCUGGCUUCAUUUUUUACCCUCAGAUACUCUCUUCCUGGAAAGCACCCUGGCUUCCUAAAAUAGGUAUUCAUGGAAAGCACUCUCUCGCACUAUAGUGUUUCCAGGAGUCAGUUCCUUUACUUGCAUAAACUGAACAUCUCAAUAAAGUAAAAAAGACUGCGGUUUCAUCCUAUAUAAUAAAAG